rnacentral:rRNA from 1 species
CAGCAGCCGCGGGAAUACGUAGGGUGCGAGCGUUAAUCGGAAUUACUGGGCGUAAAGCGUGCGCAGGCGGUUGUGUAAGACAGGUGUGAAAUCCCCGGGCUUAACCCGGGAACUGCGCUUGUGACUGCACAGCUAGAGUAUGGCAGAGGGGGGUGGAAUUCCACGUGUAGCAGUGAAAUGCGUAGAGAUGUGGAGGAACACCGAUGGCGAAGGCAGCCCCCUGGGCCAAUACUGACGCUCAUGCACGAAAGCGUGGGGAGCAAACAGGAUUAGAUACCCCUGUAGUCCCUGUCUCUUAUAC